UAGAAAGGUUCAGAUUGAAUAACAGCAAAUUUUCUUUUGGAUCGCUUCACUGCGCUUCUGGAUAGACUGUGGCAAGCCAAGCUCAACUGUGCCUAGAACUAAUUUUACAGAUUGGAAGAAAAGGAUUCUUUCAGGUUACGGAAGCCCUUCCUGAAAAGAUCUGAAGCAUUAGGCAACUACAUGACCCUACAUCUACAGAUUGCUUUCUGCAGCAUCAAAAUGCACAAGAAUUAUUUUGGUCAGCAUUCACUUGCAACUGAAGGCACGAUCAAGGACUUUCUGACGCAAUGGGAAGUCACAAUACUUGACUGGCAACAGAAAUUCAGUAUAGUCUUGAAACGUACUUCAUUGGGAUUGUAUAGUUCUUCCAACAGUCAAAUAACUUCAAGAUACGGUGAUAUUACUUGAAGGGUUGCCUAUGUCACUGCUCCACCUCACAUUUUUUUCUGUCACCAUCCAUUUUCAUUGCUUUGCGUUAAUGUUAUACUUCAACUGCCACUUCUUUAUUUUCUUGCUGAAAUAAGAGAUAAUGCAUAAAUUCUAUGAAAAAGGAGUUCCUUUAUUUUUAAAAAAAAGGAUAAUUUUUU